UGUUAUUAUGAUUAAUAAUUUGAUUAAUUAUUAUAUAUACGUACGUCUUUGUUUGGUAUAGACGGCUAUCCUUUCUCUUACUUCGAUAGAGAAAUUUUAGUAUUGCAACAUAAUAAAUUCUAUUCGUUAGAAAAGCUUCCAUCGAGUCUCUGCACCUAUCUUUAAUAUUAGAUAAGAAAUAAAAUAUUUCUUAUAUGAAAUAAGAAAUAUUUUAUAUAUUUCUUUUUCUCAAAAAGAAGAUUUGGCUCAGGAUUGCCCAUUUUUAAUUCGCCGGUUGCCGAGGGCCAAAAAAAAAAAAAUAUGACUCUCGGCAACGGAUAUCUCGGCUCUCGCAUCGAUGAAGAACGUAGCGAAAUGCGAUACGUGGUGUGAAUUGCAGAAUCCCGUGAACCAUCGAGUCUUUGAACGCAAGUUGCGCCCGAGGGACCCUCCCGAGGGCACGCCUGCCUCAUGGGCGUUAGAAGCCCAUCCACGCUCGGUUGCCUCACGGCAAAGAUGCGGACAUUGGCCCUCCGAACCGCGAGGCGCGGUGGGCCUAAGUGUGCGGCCGUCGUACGUGGCCGGGAGCGGCGAGUGGUGGGCUAUUCUGCGCACGUCACCCCGAGCUCCGUACCGACACAGGGCCUUGUUUGAUCCCCUAACGAGGAGCAUGCCGUCGCGGCCUGCGCCGCGCGGCGCCUUCGGACCGAUACCCCAG
rnacentral:rRNA from 1 species